rnacentral:rRNA from 1 species
ACUCUCGGCAACGGAUAUCUCGGCUCUCGCAUCGAUGAAGAACGUAGCAAAAUGCGAUACUUGGUGUGAAUUGCAGAAUCCCGUGAACCAUCGAAUAUUUGAACGCAAGUUGCGCCCGAAGCCAUCCGGCCGAGGGCACGCCUGCCUGGGCGUCACGCAUCG